ACGUGUAGGGUUUCAUCAUCUUCUUAACUUUAACAUUCAUAGCUCAGCAUCCUUGUGAAGCCGUCGAUCAACUCACUGUAAUGUAUCUCAUUUGCAUUAAAACAUACUUUAAUCUGAGUUUUAACGUGAUUACCCCCACCUCCCACUCUCAAACAUUCAAUCGGACUCAUCGUCUCCCAGUUAAACUGACGGAGGCUCCGACUAUAAAUCUCCUAGCGAUAACAGCACAACUUCACCAAAUCGAGAAGACAAUUCUCUGCUAAUUACCCACUCCGAGAAUGGCUAAUUCCUUCAACAUUCUUGCGGAUUUGAAAACAGGGACCAGUCUCCAACGUCUUCCGAUCCGUUCACCCUCUCGACCACUCUCUAACUUUUGUUAUCAUCUCCUUGCUACUUUCGAUUUCAAAAUUUUAGUGUUUUUUUCUUUGUUUUUUUAUGUGGGAUAGUGUUGGAGAUCAAAUGAUUGAUCUUUUGAUUUUAACAUGUUUGAUUAUAAUUUUAUGUGCAUGAAGAUGACAGGCUUAGAGUAUGUGAUCAGUGAUGCUACUGCGAUUGUCCCCACAAGUUUAUAUUGAUGCUAACGUAUAAUAUCUUGGACGGUACUAUAUACCAGGCUCCACAGCUUUGUAGUGUCUUUGCAGCUCAAGUUGUCGGGCUGUACUUAUAAUAUUUAGAAGGCUUUCUAUGCAGCUGCAUUAAAGUUGGAGACCAUUAGGCAGGUUGAUGCUAAAAACCAGAACGACCUUCUGAGACAAAGCCCCCAAUGGUAUACAAUCUUUCACACCACUUCUCUUCCGAUUCAUCAAAAGAUGUCUUCGUAGAAAACAAGAAGCAACACACCUUAUAUAAGAAAAAAAGGAAUUGAACAGUAUCUAUGUCGAAGAAGUCAAGAGUUCUUUGAGCAAGACGUUUCUUCAGGCCAAUCUUGCUUUAGCAAAGGACCGCAACAGAGGCUCUUUUCUCAGAUUUUUCUUCCAGUACCUCGGCUCUUGCUGCCCUUAUUUUUGGAAGACACUUAAUGCUUGCAAAUGCAGGAGAUGGCAGAGCUGUUCUCUGUAGGAAUGGUGAAGCCAUAGACAUGUCUCAAGACCACAAACCAAUCUACUUACCGUAAGGAAGAAAGUCGAAGGAAGUGGCGGCUUUGACGACGCCAAUUACUUAAAUGGCAUAGCGAUUAGGACAUGAAAUUACCACGAGGGUCACGAUCUCCACUCAUAGCAGAGUCAGGAGAUCAAAAGGAUACAUUUAACAGAGGAAGACAAGUUUCUGAUAAUGGGAUGCGACGAGAUUUGGGACUUUUGACAAUUCAAAAGCUGAUGACAUGGCGAUGGUCGCUCCUCCGGUGGAGGAUCAAGUUUAACGGCAUAAGCUUCUCAGAGAUUGAGGGCCUUAUUUGACGGUUGAAUAAAAAGAUAGUGACAUUCCCUUUUGUGUUCUUGGCUGAGCUUUUUCUUUCUGUUGUAUAUUUGGUGUCUGUAUGUAACUUCAAGUGUCUACGUGCCCCAGUUUUGUGUAAGCGGUUAUGUGUUCAU